CGAUGACAACAAAUGCUUUUUAAGUAGCCAUUAUUUCCUGUCUGUCCCACUCCAGCAUUAACACGCUUUCCCACCCCAAUUUCAUCUCAAAUUCGUCUUCAACACCAGCAACAGAUCUACUUUUAAUCGAUCUUUUCCAUCUCCUGGAAGUGUUUGUUACCAGUGUUGCAGCGGACGGUUCCCCCAAAAUUUCCUCUUUGAUUUGACCAUCAGUUUUUGGAGUAAUUUUUUUCGGGGGUCUUGGUUUUUUGCGAGUUUCUGGGCAAUUCGAGGGAGUUAUUCGUUCUAUAUGUAGCAGUAAAACUGUUGAAGUUACUGCAAUCAAGUGAAAAAGCCAAAAGGCGUUUGGAGAGGCUUUUUGGUGAACAAAUUAUAGUAUUUGUGGCAAAUGGGCCCUAUAUUCUACAUACUGAUAGCUUUGCCUUGUACAAUUGGGGCAAUUGCAUUGGCGCUUCUCCACAUUUACAGGCAUCUCAUGAAUUAUACUGAACCCACAUAUCAGAGAUUCAUAGUCCGAAUUAUCUUUAUGGUUCCUGUAAGUAUUCAGCUGGCUCCAUUAUUGAUUCUCAUUACAUCACAUCUAUUUCACUCUUCUUCAUGCAUUUGACUUUAAGGUUAGGCUUUGUGUUAAGUUCAAAUUGUAAUUGGCAAUUUCCUAAGUCAAAAUCAAGUUUUAGUUGAAAUGUAUUAGGCAUUUAUUGAGUUAUAAUCAAAGUCAGUUAAGGAUUCGUAGUAUAUGUCUUGGAGGAGUCCAAGAUGUCAAAGAUGUCCAAGAAGAUUAAAUAUAAUCAAGGGAAUGCAAUGAGAAGUCUAAAGGGUAUUAAAAAGUUGCACGAGUUAUUCUCCAAAUUCUUAAUUGCAACUUGAUACGCUUUUUCACAUAGAAAACAUUCGAAUUUGGAAAAUACUAUUUUUAGAAGAUUGUAGCUCUUUGAGUCAGCUUUCAACGCAUUUUGAAUCACAUCAAUCCAAUAUCAGGAGAGAAAAUUAUAAUGAAAUUACCGACAAUUGUUCAACUGUCGCUCGUCUAGCAUUAGCCUAGCUCUCGAGCGAUGGGUAGAUGUCCAAAAUUUUAUUUUGCUUCAAACACUAAUUUUUCAAUUCAUUUUCAUGUCAAACACUUUUCCCUAUAUAUAUCCUACCCUAUGAACGUCCAAAAGUGUAUUGAGUCAUAUUAUACCAUAGAGAUAGUUCCUUGAAGAUCCAAAUCAUCAUUCUUUAGUCUCUAGAUUCAACCACCAUAACAUGGUGUUCAUAAAAUCUUUCCAAGGCAAGAUAUUUCUUUGAACCAUAAAUUAUUUCAUUAAUUGAUAUAUAUAUAUUGAGCCAAAUAUUUUCACAUUCUUAGAUAUUAAAUUAAACCACAAGUCAAAACACACAAGAACUUUGAUCAAACACCAAACCUACCUUUACCAAUUAGCUUUCAGAGUUAAUGGAGUUAUGGGAAGAGACGCUAGGAGUUCUGGCGCUGCGAACAAAGUUCCAUUAGAAGAACGAGGAAUUCUUCAUUUAAUCCACAGAAGAUAAAUCGAUAUUAGGGAUCGGGAGCUAUUGCAAAAGCACAGAUUCAGGAGGACUAAGAUGAGGUACCAAGAGUCGGGAUCUAGUGUCAAGAGCACGCAGCCCAGGAGUGCUAAGGUAUAAACUAGGAGUCAGAAUUUGUUUUGAAAAAGCAAACCUCCAUUAAGAUCAAGGAAAACUACAAGAAUUGAUGCCAGAAGUUCUACGGGAUAGACGGGUUUGGUGUGUAUUGUAAGUUUGCUUCAAUUCAUAGAGGAUUAUUGAUUGACAAAGUCCCGGGAGUUUUUACCCAGUUAGGAUUUCUCCGUGGUUAUCUUUGGUGUUCUUUACUGUUUUAAUUAUUGAUUGUGGCAUUCAAACCAUCAAAACAUGGGAUAAUUGAACUUGAUUGACUAAUCACCUGGAAAC